CGUCGCAUCCUGGGGCUGGAGUCGGUCCCAAGGGUUGGGCUGUUCGCCCAUUAAAGCGGCACGCGAGCUGGGUUUAGAACGUCGUGAGACAGUUCGGUCCCUAUCCGCUGCGCGCGUAGGAGUCUUGAGAAGAGCUGUCCUUAGUACGAGAGGACCGGGACGGACUAACCUCUGGUGUGCCAGUUGUUCUGCCAAGAGCAUGGCUGGUUGGCUACGUUGGGAAGUGAUAACCGCUGAAAGCAUCUAAGCGGGAAGCACGCUUCAAGAUGAGGGCUCCCACCCCGUUACAGGGGGUAAGGACCCCGGCAGACUACCGGGUGAUAGGUCGGAUGUGGAAGCACAGCAAUGUGUGGAGCUGACCGAUACUAAUAGUCCGAGGGCUUGUCAC
rnacentral:rRNA from 1 species